rnacentral:lncRNA from 1 species
CAGAGCCAGCACAUGUCCUUUGGGGAUUACCUGGCAGCUCUUUGGAAACCAGUCUCUUUAAUCCUGCUAUGAUGCCAAGAGGUAGCCCGGCAAUUCAGACCUUGCUUUGCUCGGAGCCGCUUUCUUUUCUGGCCAGCACUGAUGCCUUACAUCGAAGCUGAUGUGACUCAGCACCAAGUUUGGGCACCAAGAGGGUGUUUGUUAACUGGCAGCGCCAAAGAGGUCUCCUUUCCUUCCUCUAUAUAAAGAGACUUUGUUUCUGCGCAGUGGUUACUUUGUUGAAAAUUAAGAGUUUUGACAGUUGGGGUGGGGGAAGAGAGUGCUAAAUGCAUGAACUUUACCAAGGUGUGUUUAAGAACACUUCGAACCUUUAGUUUCAUAAAUACCUCUGCUUCCUCUGUUGCUUUAUUAGCAUGGGUUUUAUCCAGAAGGUGGCAUCACAGAACCUAAAUUUCACUCACCAAAGGGUAAGAGAAAUUUACAUCUCUUUGUGAUUAGAAAUUAAGGAUGUAACCUUUAGAUAGCAUGUUGACAUUUCAGAGACUUUUUAUUCAUUCCUGUAAUUGGUUAAAUUACUUUAAAGCUGUGGAAGAUGAGGUCAUGAUGGUUUUCUACCCAGUGGAAACCCGAGGCCUGAGAUAUUUAGAAAAACCCAAACCCAUGUUCCUUCACCAAGUGAUGUGAGCAAGACUGGUUUAUUUACUAAUCAGAAACAGUUGUGAAACUGAACAGUUACUGUGAUGCCUUCUUCCCCUUCCACAUGCACUUGUGCCCACUGCCCAUCAAGGUACUCUUGGGUGCCUUCAUUGGAAGGAGGGAUCGGGAAGGCCUAAAUGGAUGGUUUAAUGGGUAAAUCUGCUGAGUAUUGGCACUUAAAAAUGAGUCGCAAGGUUGAGGACUCUCAAACGGUGAUCCUCUAAUGGGUGACCUUCUCACAAUCAGGACUCUCAGGAAAACAGAAGAUGAUCCUCCUCGGAAUCUGAGCUAGGAUCUGGUUUGCUGCUUCUUUCCCAGGCUAGGGGUUGAAUCGGAGCUGUAGCCACCGGCCUACGCCAGAGCCACAGCAACGCGGGAUCCGAGCCGCGUCUGCAACCUACACCACAGCUCACGGCAACGCCGGAUCGUCAACCCACUGAGCAAGGGCAGGGACCGAACCCGCACCCUCAUGGUUCCUAGUCAGAUUCGUUAACCACUGUGCCACGACGGGAACUCCUCCUGUCCCCUUUCUUCAUUCUCCCACACACCUUUGGGUCAGUAUAUUUGGGGGACAGAAGAUAACCAUGGGCACUGAUGAAUAUGCUAUGAAAAAAUGUGGCUCUCUUGUAAAUUUGAGACAUUUCUUACGGAACAGGGUUAUUCUCCAUUUUCCAAGUGAAUCGUGCUCUGUCUGCAGAGGAUGACUUUGCUGUCUCAUCCUUAUUCUGUAUUGCCGCAGGCCUGUGAAGGAUGGCCACUGUGACAGGGGAGCCCUUCAUCCUGCUAGACUUUUGCACAGUCUAUAAUCUGAGGGAGUUCUGAGAAGGAACUGCUGUUGCUUAUGCUGUUUUUCUCCGGACAUAUUUCCCUCCCUUUUCCUGUAGCUUUAUGGACUCUUAGGCGCUGCUUUAUGGUGUCCAUUUCCUCCUGUUCUUUGCGAGGGUCUAGGUGAGUUUCUGAUUUCAGCUCCUCAAGUUGUUCCCCCUUUACCUAGUUCUCACUUAUUGCCAGGAGUUUGGGUGCCUGGUCCUUAAAGGGACAUUCUGGGUUGUCACAUUACCAAAAAGCUUACUUAGCUUCAAGAAAAAGAUUUGCAUACAUUGCAAAGAGGCAGAGAAAGAGCUGAUAAGUUUUCCAAGGUGAAUGUUUUAAGGGAAAAGAGAGGCCGUUUCCCUUUUUUCAACAGGGAUUCUUUAACUUUUCUUAUUUUUUUGCCCUUACAACAUGCUCCCAUGAGACACCUGGUCUCCUGGGUAUUGGCACCCUGCUCCCAGUUGCUGAUUCCAGAGCUCUGCCAAAGUCAGGCCUGUGCAGAGGCCUUCCUCAGGAGGAGCUCGUGCCAAAAGCACCUGAAGGACAAGUGAUCAGUAUGCGUGACUGCUCAUCCUCUGGGCUGCUUUUACCCGUGCCUCUGUCCUCAGGGGGAGUUCUCUGGGAUCUCUAGGAUCAAUUGGAAUGAGGAUUAAAACUACAGACCUUGUUUUGAGAGGGUGUAAACUGAUACCCUGAUGUCACUGGUGUGUUGGCAGGUGGAGCUGGGCUUUCCCUCUCCUAUCCUCCCUUUCUUGAGUCUCCAGAGGAGCACCUGGCAGAGAUGUCAUCUCUGUGUCUUGGGAUACAUGGGACCUGAUAGAAUAUGUGGUAGGAGGCGAGGACUCAGAUCCCACGUUGUGAAUGUUUAGUGUGCAGCCCUGUCAAACAGGGUGGAAAGAGUGUGCAAAAUGUGUGCCCUCCUAUGUAGCUUGAAUGAUCUCUGAUCCCUCUGGAUUUGAAUUUGCCCUCGCAGCCCUUCAGCUGACACAAUAAAGGGAUUACUGAGUGUCGCCAGUCAGGCCCCUUCACAGUCUAGAUUUGGGUUGGCCUUCUCAGCUUCCCUUCCCUCUUCUUACUCAUGUGCAGGCCUACUGUACUGCUUCAUAUCAAGUUUGGAUAAGAACAGCAGUGGGCUCUGUUGAAUGAAUCCUAAGGAGAUGCUCUGAUUUGCUCAGUCUGCCCCAGCAGUCAGACAUAGCAGCCUUCCUGAAUGCUGAAAGGCCUGUCGCAGACUCGACUCUAGUGAUUAUAGGUUGUACAGUCAGGGUACUGAGCUACGGGAUGUAGGAUGUAGUUAAAGCUGGGAACCAAGACGUGCGCGUCUCCUCCUGAGCUCAGAGUUUGAAGUAUUGUGUAUAGAAAAAUGUGCUGAGAGUAAAUCUUAUUCUACCUUCUGUCAAAAAAUAAUAAUAUGAAUUAGCGAGGGUGGAAUGAAACUUAACAGGGGUUGGAUAUGUUUAAGGCAUAGAUUAUGAUGAUGGUUCGUGGAGGUAUACUUAUCUCCAGACUCAUUAAGUUGUAUGUAUUAAGUAUGUGCAGCUUUCUGUAUGUCAGUCAUACCUUCAUAACCUCAAUAAAGUGGUUUAAAAAUAAUAACAAAAAAGACCCUCUCGUGGUUACAGAUGUAUACUCCCCCUCAAGUGUCUUGAGGUUUUAGAACUGAAAGGGAAGAAUGCUUCUACACUGGGAAAUGGGUAAUGCUAUUUACUACUCUGUAUUAUUGUUUUGCCUUGGUUUUUCUAUGUAUGCAUAGCAUUUGCAUUGGCACAUAUAAGGUUAACCUUUAGUCCAUAGGAUUUUGAAUUUUGUAGAAUCACAGCACUUCUGCGAAAGCUGUGAACUUCACCUGGAGGACUUCAGCUCAAGGAGUGGCCUGUGACAUCAGCUAUUUGUCAUUUGACCAGAAAUUGACUUUGGGUCCUGUGCCUUUGGGAAUGGCUUGGACUUUGGGUUGGUUUUGUUUCUUAUAAUAUGUGCUUUUGUGCUUACCUGAGAAAUCUUUUAAAAUAUUUUACACAUGGGGACAUGUCCAGGUGUAAAAUAUUUUACAUAUGGGGACACGUCAAGGUGUAUAUGUACUGUAUCUGUAUCCUAUAGGGUGGAAGGUAGUGUCUCAGGCUGGUUGGUCUCUGCAGCAGGCCUCUUUUCUCUGAGGUCUUCCCACCACCUUCUGUUUUCUGUGUGACUGAGUUCCUUGGCCUUAGCUACUCAGUUUGAUACUUUUCAUCUUGUCCUAGUUGAGCAAACCAUGCUUCUGUUAUAUUUAGAGUUUGGGACUAGAUGCCAAGAAUGGGUGCUAGGCUAGCCUGCAAAGGCUCAUUAAUAACCUUUCACUGCAGAAAAUAUCAUGUAAAAGACAUAUUGUGGGGUUUCCCUGGGUUAUCCUCAUUUCUGUGUCUUUAGAAUGUAUUUGCUGCUUAAGCUUCUUGUAUUUUGUAAAAUACUUGUGUUCUUCCAAUAAAAUUUGUU